rnacentral:rRNA from 1 species
AGUGAACGCUGGCGGUAAGCCUAACACAUGCAAGUCGAACGGCAGCACAGGAGAGCUUGCUCUCUGGGUGGCGAGUGGCGGACGGGUGAGGAAUACAUCGGAAUCUACUCUGUCGUGGGGGAUAACGUAGGGAAACUUACGCUAAUACCGCAUACGACCUACGGGUGAAAGCAGGGGACCUUCGGGCCUUGCGCGAUUGAAUGAGCCGAUGUCGGAUUAGCUAGUUGGCGGGGAAAAGGCCCACCAAGGCGACGAUACGUAGCUGGUCUGAGAGGAUGACCAGCCACACUGUAACUGAAACACGGUCCAGACUCCUACGGGAGGAAGCAGUGGGGAAUAUUGGACAAUGGGCGCAAGCCUGAUCCAGCCAUACCGCGUGGGUGAAGGAGGCCUUCGGGUUGUAAAGCCCUUUUGUUGGGAAAGAAAUCCAGCUGGCUAAUACCCGGUUGGGAUGACGGUACCCAAAGAAUAAGCACCGACUAACUUCGUGCCAGCCGCCGCCGUAA